UACGGCAGCAGUGGGGAAUAUUGCACAAUGGGCGCAAGCCUGAUGCAGCCAUGCCGCGUGUAUGAAGAAGGCCUUCGGGUUGUAAAGUACUUUCAGUCGUGAGGAAGGUGUUAAGGUUAAUAACCUUAGCAAUUGACGUUAGCGACAGAAGAAGCACCGGCUAACUCCGUGCCAGCAGCCGCGGUAAUACGGAGGGUGCGAGCGUUAAUCGGAAUUACUGGGCGUAAAGGGCACGCAGGCGGUUAAUUAAGUUGGAUGUGAAAUCCCCGGGCUUAACCUGGGAAUGGCAUUCAAGACUGGUUAGCUAGAGUCUUGUAGAGGGGGUAGAAUUCCAUGUGUAGCGGUGAAAUGCGUAGAGAUGUGGAGGAAUACCGGUGGCGAAGGCGGCCCCUGGACAAAGACUGACGCUCAUGUGCGAAAGCGUGGGGAGCAAACAGGGAUUAGAUACC
rnacentral:rRNA from 1 species